rnacentral:lncRNA from 1 species
CAUCUUCACUUGCUUCAAACAGGAAGAGCACCUCUUCUUGUCCGACUUUGGUGAAGUUGAAUUUGUUCCCAUCGAAGGGCUGGAGAACCUUAUCUACACGGAACUCAGUUGGCCUCUUCUUAAGGUGGCGGCCCUCGUUCAGCUGGGCAAUAAAGCCAUAUUCACCAGGAAUCACCUAAAGAACCAUAAACAGAGAAAUUUUAGAAGGUACCAACAACUCGAUUAACCAUAAAAUCUAUGGCUUUUCCAAUUUCAGAUAAACAAGUGAAGCAAGGGAAUCGAAAAGGAGCCGAAAAGAAGACCUUGGUUUCACAGGCAGUGACAUCAUAUCGAAAGAGCCCUCUUUGCAUGCGAUCCUCCCACUACCAUAAAACCAUAAAGUAUUUUUUAACCUCUCUAUUUGUAAACACAACAGUCGUUAAUCAUAAAUUGAUAACAAUGGUCUUAAAGCUUAUUCACCACAAGCUUAAUGAUAAAAUUUACCUCCCCAAGAACGAGAGAAUCAAGAAAAGCAACUGGAGGCUCUUUGUUUUCAGUUUCAAAUGCAUCUUUUUCACUCUCCUUCUUGAAAGCAUAUAAAGGAAGCUUUGCUCCUAUAAACCAAAACCCAGUUCUUCAAAUACAUCUAUCAAAAUUUAUCCAACAGAGCAAGGAUCAAAAAGUAAAUUUAACAGAUACCUGGAAUGCAACAGCUUCUAAGGCAAUUCUUCCCACAUCCACCGCUCCGGCGAGCAGUCUCUUCCGCCUCAUCCUUUUGGUAAUUCGAAACAACAGUAGGAACCCUCUUAAUACUGAGCUGCAUCAUCCUUGCUACUACUUCUCUUCUUUAU